AAUGGCAUCUAAUUUCAGAAAACAAAGUUCAAGUCCGCAAAAAAUGCAUGUACAAAUCUAAGGAGAUAGGUCUACAGAAAUAGACACGUGGCUCUGUGGUCCGUAAGGUGCAGUCAGGAACCUCACAUCCUAGGGUCUGUCUGGGUUCAAUGUUCCAGUGGCGUGAGACAACCAAGGAAACAGACACCCCAAAGAGCCGAUGUUAUUUUUGAAUAUAUAUAUAUGUAUAUACAUGUACAUAUGUAAAUAUGUUGCCUUCAUCUGUAACAGUGCAAACCUCUCACAGCGUGCAAAGCAACAGUGUUUCCUACAGUCAAGUAACUAAAUCAGUGAAAAGUUAUCCACACAGCAUUAUAAAAACAUUAUAUAAUUACAUAGCAGAUAUAUAUGCACGCCUUUGCACGCUGAUUAGAGUUACUUGCAUUGACUUUUGCUUUAGAAGAAAUAAAAAAGGAAAAUCUUUAAAUAGUUCUUCAUCAAAUAAAAGGUAACAAUUUGUAACAGAUUCAACUAUGAACAGGUAUUGCAUCAAUAUGUCUACAAUAGAAAAACAUAAAUAUAUAAAAACAAAGGCAAAGGGGUCAGCUACACAUAUUAACUUACCAAACAUACAUGUUCUAUUGAAAAACUGAUCCCCAUUCACACCCUCCAGGUGGGAGGAUAAGACUAUAAAAAUGGGAAGCCAGCGUGUGGGUGUGGUGUUCUAUUUUAUUAGCAAUUUGGAUGAUAGGAUGUUUUGCUACUGUUUUCAGUUGGCCAAUGACAUAAUAGUGAGAUACUGAUUAUUAAGCUUGGGAAGCUGGUAGGUCAUGGAAAAGAGACCCCAAGAUGCAUAAUGACAGACAUGUAAAAAUGCAAACGUGUAAAAAUGAAAUCACUGCCGUGGUUACUACUAUAUUUUCAGACAAACCAAAUUGUGGUACCAUUCAGAUUAGACGGCGUUCAGGGAUCUCCAGGAGUCCACGGAUAUGGGGUUGUCAACCCUAAACCCACGUACUUCAUAAUUUCCUAACCUUCCCCUUCAAGGCCAGAUGCAUUUCAACCUGCCAGAAGGGGCACAUUAGGGCCCCCUAAGAGGCACGAUUGUUUGAGUAACUUCCCCAGAAACGGACAUGUCUGCUGCUGCCUCAGCUGCAGCACUCUCAUUGGGCAAGCUGUUUUCUAGAGGCUCAUAGGCAGGUGCGGUGAGCAGUGAAGAGUCAAAUUAAUUCUGAGCGCCGGCACUCAGAGCUUCAGAAGCCUCCUUAAAGGGAGAUUUGUCUGGGGGACUAGAGGACUGGCCCCCACACAGGUCACCAGGGAGGGUCCUGCCUCACUGCUCGGGGGCUCACCAGCCAGGCCUCAGCAUCUCUGCCCCACUCACCGGCCCUCAUGGUAAUGGACCACAUGGGUCAGAGGUGACAGCAGGUGGCUUACACAUUUCCAGAGAUCUGAUCUCGUAACCUCAGGGACCAUAAAAUAAAAAACAUUUCUUACUGUGUGCAGUAUCAGGGCCACGUUUAAAGUCAUGUGCAAAGUUUAGGCCAAAGGCACUCAAAGUGAUCAGCCAGAUUCUCUCGUAUGUUUGUUCAGUGCAGACACACAGACGAUGGUGGCGCGCUAUUGAGAGAAAACAGCUGAAAGUAAAGUAAUAAUUUUGAGUUUUGCUACUUUUUGGUUAUGUGGCUUGAGCUCAUGCCUUUCCCAAGAUCUCGGGGGCUAGAAGACUGUCCCCAGAACCAUGAACCCCAGUGAAACAAAUACAUAUAUGCCCGUGGCUGUGUCCUCAACCUGGACCUGAAAGGCAAGUGGCCAUGGGGGUGGCUUUCUGGAAAAGGGGAGGGGCUUGGGCAAGCUUAGCCCACAGCUGCAGAGAAAACCCUCAGGGCGGGCUCUGCCAGCGGGUCCAGCACGCCCUCAAAAUGCAGCGCCCUCGUCCAGCCGGCAGCCCCUGCCUGUGUUUGCGAAGAAUCAAGGUGCUUUUGUGCUUCUGUUCCUUUCUCUUCAGCUUUACAACGGCCAUUCUACAUGGAAAAGCCCCCAAACGGUGCCUCUAUAAACAGUAAACCCUUGCCAGGCUGGAAUGUGGUAGCCAGUGGCAUGGACCGUUUUCUCCUUUUGAUGCCAGGAGAGUAUUUCUGAGAACAGGGAAGCCUCAGGGUCCUAACCCCAGCCUCUGCUCACAUGUGUGUCAUUCACAUAAACCCCAGGCAAAGCAGGGUUCCUGGGUGGGCCUCAGGCACACUGGGGCAGGCCACACGUGUCUGUGUGAGGGGUGAUUCCAGGUUGGCCUGUUCAGAGAUAACAUAAAAAAACUAGGCUAAGGCUAAACCCUUCUGUUUCCUCAAAUAUGGAAAAAAGAAACGGGCAGGAUGUAGGAUAGCUAUUAGGAACUUUAGGUCAGCAUAGCAGAAGGAUGUGCGUGUGUGCCUGUCCCCACAUUUCCUUCCUGCCCAGGACACGUGGAUUUUAAGGACAGCCUGAAUUGAGCUUGUAAGUGAAAAUUAGACUGUGCCAUGGGGGUGCAGGGUCUCUUAUUUCUUCCCUGCUUCUGGUCCCAGGGAGGUUCCCCAAAAAGGUCAGCCCCACAAGUGGACAUCAGAAGCCCCUGUCUUUGCAGGGGGCAAUUAUCUUGGAGGAACCUCCCUGACGGGACAGCCCAAGUACAGUGGCUUGGAAAGGACCGUGACUUUAACAUUACUGGGACCCAGGGCGGCCGGGCCGUCCAGAAAGGCUGGGGUUACCGAGGGGGGAAGAAAACUGUGCAUCGCGAGCUUGUGUGCACGCCUGGGGCAGCCUUCGAUUGUGCCUGCCCGCCAUAGGAGGAGUGCAGGGGCCACUGCGGGCCGAUUCUGUGACCUCACCCAGCCCGGCUCUCUGCUCUGUGUCCCAGAGGUGGGAGGGAAGCUGGAUUUGAAAGCCCAGUUCUAAGCCACUGGUGUCCCGGAAAGUCUUCACUCUGAGGGUCACUGCCUGGCCGGAGCUCGGGGAACCAUGGGCUAAUGCAGCACAUAACACUGAGCAACUGCUAGGCCCUGCUCACCUCAACUUUGGGACCAAAACCUCUAGAGGGGCUGCCUUCCCCACUAGCAGCUGCCUCUACAGAGCUCAGCCUGGGAGAUGGGUUUCCAGCAAAGCAGAGUAAGGAAGAAGCGACGUCGCCCUGCCAGAGCUACCGCCCCAGAGCCCCGGUUGAGGGAGCCCCUGCAAGGGUGGAGAGGACCAAAGGGAAGGUGUGGCCCAGUGCCCUCCUGCUAGCCCUGCCUCGAGCCUCCUCCAGGCACAUUUCGAGGUCAUGGCCAACAUCACGAGGCAGGAGGACAUGGGUGAGGAUUCUGGGAGAACAGAAAACACAAAACUUUAAGACAAUUCAACAUAAUACAUGAACAUCAUCGAGAAAGGGCUCAUCUACAGCCACGUCUUGGACCAGAACAUGAGCGACAAAUCAGUGCUCUUCCCAGAGGGACAACAAACGCAUUCUAGACACAGCCUAAGAAUCCAUCGACUUAGGAGAAUGCAAAGCCAAUCACUUGAAGCAUCUGACGCUGAACACAGUAAAGGCUGAUUGAGGAUUCAGAAGCUGGUAUUCUAUGGAGAUGAGGGAAAUAUCAUAGAAUAAUACUAUCAAACACACGCCUGGAGCCAAGUCUGCACACCUGCAUGUAUGUGUGUGCAUGUAUGUGUGUCCAUGUGCAUGUGUGUGCAUGUAUGUGUGUGUAUGUGUGUGUAUGUGUGUGUCCAUGUGAGUGUGUGUGCAUGUGUGUGUGUGCGUGUGCUUGCAUGCAUGUGUGUGCAUGUGUGCACAUGUGCUUGUGUGUAGGUAGACACAUAUACACCAUACACGCACACACACACACCAGCCCCUGUAGAGCCUGAGCUAGUCCACAGGACUGUUGCAAUAGGAGGAGCAGGCAAGGGCAGAGGACAGCCCCUCUCCACGGAGAGGUACCUGUCACGAGUACUCUGAUGCAAGGCCACUGAAGGGCGUUAGGCUUGGGUUGCCCUCUCAUCUCAGCCACCUGUUUGGUAACAGAAGGAAUCACUGAACGAACAGCCACUAAGCUAGUAUUGCACUUUAUGCCUUACAAAGCAUCUCAGAUACAUUCAUACGCCAUGAACAGGAGGCAGUAAACAAAACAGGGACUUCAGCGUCCAACUGGGCUGGAAUCCCAACUCCGCUCCUUCCUCGUUCUGGGGCCCUGGGGACGUCACGGAGCCUCUCCCUGCCUCCGCGUUCCACGUCUGCACCAUGAGCACGGCUAAGCCAAGUGGCCACGCGGUUCCCUCCCACCACACUGGAGGGCAAGCCCACGUUGGAGUCCCCUCCCCCUCACCCCCAGGGCCUGGGACAGCACCAGGCGAGAGGGGUGGGUCAGUAAGGGUUUGAGGAGUGGGCAGGGGACAGGGGGUUCUGAGGACAUCCAGCCCAGUGCCUGGAAACAGCCACGAGGAAAGGUGCUCGGUGCACCAGAGUCGUGCCUUCUCUUCCCACUGCAACAACCAAGCCCGGUUUCUGCCCCAUGGGUGUGGUCUGUCCCUGAUGUCAGGCUGGGGGAAUGACUUUUUGUGGGUUUCUAAGAUGAGUUUUCACCUCAAAGCUCCAUGUACCAUUUCCUGGUCCUGAAGGCGCCUCCCCCAGGUGAUGUAAUCCAAUUCUGGCACUGACUGCAUAAAACUUUGCACAGUUACUCCCCUUCCUGGGCACAGCUUCCCACUUCACCCACACAGGGAGUUUCGGAGAAUUCAAUCUCCAGUGGAUAUUCAGCCAGAGGAGAAGAAAGAGAGGCACAAAAUGCUUUGGAUGAGGACAAAGGCAAAAGGCCCCAGCAGUUUCCCUGAAACCUCCAUUUUCACCUCUACUAACCACUGGGGCAUCUGCAAAUCUUUUAUCCAAGGUUUAAUCCUUCCUUCUAAUGGAAGAAACUCAACCAGAGAUGAAAGGAAUAUCUUGGUCAAUGCAUUCAGAAAUUACUGAAACAAAUUAGAUUUGGGGAGUUGGUCUGGGUUUAACGUCCAACAUGUGAAAGAUAGCACAUUGCCGUGUGUGUCUUAACCACAGCUGGUUAGAAAAGUAAACCAGUGAGUUGCUUGAUAUUAUCUUAGGCCAUUGGAAUAAGGCAUUUUACCAAACUACCUUAACACAAAAAGCAGUGGGGAAAUAUCUGGGAAUCUAAACAAUGGCAUUUGAGCCAAUGCUGCCAAAGGUUACGAGGAAAAUGCCCAGCCAGGGACCCUUGCUGAACCUGGAAGAGGGAGGCCGGCUGCACCUAGGACAGAUGCAUCCUCUCCUCCCUUGGCGGUAGGCUUUCCUCCAGUCUACGGGGGAGGGCUGAGCAAAGCCAUCCUGGGGCGUCAACUGCAGAAUCCUCACCUACUCCAGUUCACCCUUCAAAAAAUAAACCCACAUGGUCUCACAUAUCCAUUCCCUUCUUGCAGCCUAACAGCCCUCAUGGUUCCCAAGCUCUUCCCCCUUAGAAUUACCCCCAUCAAGUUCCUACGAGAGUCAUUCCAUCAGAGGGCUUAGGUGCUCUCCGAAACCAGAUUUAAAAUCUAGAGGCAUCUCACUGUUUCCUCCUGAAAUUGAUGAGGCACAGCAAGCGGUCUCAGCAAACGAGACCAAAGCUGCUUCUGAGGCAGGGCUGUGGGCCCCAUGCAGUGCAGUUCCUGGCAGACACACCCCUAUUAGGGCCAUGAAGCCACAACACUAAUCCACAAUGGGGAAGGCUCACCUGGAGGGAAUGGGCGUUUUCAACACUGACCUCACUCGAUGUAGUUCUGAGUCAUGAGCAAGGACUUUUGCCUUUUUCCAAUUCUGCAUUUCACCAGGCUAUUCCUAGGUAGGUCUUCCCUAUGUGCAAUGUCUUACAAGAAGAUCUAUUUUGAAAUUAAAUGAGGACUUUUUAUAAAGGCUAAGUUUGACUCUGGUUAAAAACUUAAUCUGGAAGGCAAUGCCAUAUUUGUAUAGAACAAGCACACUUAAAAUUACACUUUAAUAUCUAUCUCAAUUGUGUUUACUAAAAAAGAUCUAGCAGUAAAAAAGGAAUCUCUAAGAAUUAGCAAACUAAAUCCAUGUGUAAAUAAAAUUCAGACCCUUUUCGUUCUUUCGAAGUGGGAAAUAAGAGCUUCAGGGACAUCGCCAAGGAAUCCCACCACCUUUGAGCUGGCAUGGCCUUGGGCAUGAUGUACUGUAACUAUUUACAGAUGAGGAAAAAUGUAGCUUAGAAAGGUUCACUGAUUUUCCCGCAAAAACACAGCCUUUCCAUCGGAAGCCCUGAUUCUAGGAGAAUGAUAUUCUAGAGGGAGUAAACAAUGGCAUUUUCCUAAAGGUGGACUUCUUUGGCCAGAAUCACCUUCUCUGCAUGUAGUCAAACUGCUUCUGAGAGCUGACAAACUCACAGGCAGCCUUGUUGUGAAUUCAAAGACCACUUGACCUCCAGAUAGGCACCUGUUUCUGCCCUAGCGGGAUUUGACUUAUGUGAUUCAGUCAUAGGAAAGAAGCGGUUUCCAACGUGCAAAGUUUACACAGGCCUAACACUGAGGCGGUGAUGCAGCUGUGAGGUCGCAAAACCCAGAGAUGAAAUCUCCCACCACUCGAAGUGCGUUGUUUGAUCAAGUUUCAAAUGCCUCCACAUGCUGAAGUCUACUGACUUCGUCCUAAGCCCUUGGAUUCUGAUGCCAUCUCGUUGGCCUCCUCCCCUCUUGCACAGUUAGCCCAUCUUUCACUGCUGGCCACUCCUGCUGAGCCAACCCUCAAAGGUCGUGCCUGAAUUUCCCUAAGCCCCAUUCUUCCAGGUUCAGUGGAGGCAGCUGAGGUGAUACAGGAGGAAAGGGAAGCUGUUUGUUUGUUUGUUUAAAUCAACCUAGGCAAAAUUAAAGGUAGUCAGAAAGUUAGGAAGAAACAAACAAUAUAUUUCGCUUAAAAUAAGAAGCACGUGGAAAAAGAAAGACUUUGAAAGAGUUGGCCAAUGUCUUCUCACAAUUUUUUGUAUAGCUUUUAAAAAUGUCUGCAUGGCUCAGUGGAGAUGGUGUCCACGUC
rnacentral:lncRNA from 10 species